rnacentral:rRNA from 1 species
UUUCCGUAGGUGAACCUGCGGAAGGAUCAUUACUGAGUUAGGGUCUUCUAGGCCCGACCCUCCAACCCUUUGUCUACCGUACCUCUUGUUGCUUCGGCGGGCCCGUCCUACCUCUAGAAAUAGGGGGACGACCGCCGGAGGGUGCUACACCCUCUGGCCCGUGCCCGCCGAUAGCCCUCAACCAAAAACUCCUCUUCAAACAUGAAUUAAGUCUGAAUAAACCAAAAAUUAAGUAAAAAACUUUCAACAACGGAUCUCUUGGUUCUGGCAUCGAUGAAGAACGCAGCGAAAUGCGAUAAGUAAUGCGAAUUGCAGAAUCCGUGAGUCAUCGAAUCUUUGAACGCACAUUGCGCCCCUUGGUUAUGCCGGGGGGCAUGCCUGUUCGAGCGUCAUUAUCACCCCUCAAGCCCAGGCUUGGUGUUGGACUUUGGUGAGAGCCUUUUGGUGAUCACCGGUCUCAAAGUUAGUGACGGCGUCCUUGAGGGAACCCGGUACGAGGAGCUUUUAACUAGGCAUGUACGGGGCACGACUCUGGGACGACGGUCUUUUUAAUUAUACUUAUCUAAGUGUUGACCUCGGAUCAGGUAGGAAUACCCGCUGAACUUAAGCAUAUCAAUAAGCGGAGGAAAAGAAAC